CACGUAGGGAGCAAGCGUUGUCCGGAAUUACUGGGCGCAAAGGGCGCGUAGGCGGGAAUUUAAGUUGGAUGUGAAAACUAUGGGCUCAACCCGUAGCCUGCAUCCAAAACUGGAUUUCUUGAGGGCAGGAGAGGAAAGUGGAAUUCCUAGUGUAGCGGUGAAAUGCGUAGAUAUUAGGAGGAACACCAGUGGCGAAGGCGACUUUCUGGACUGUACCUGACGCUGAGGCGCGAAAGCGUGGGGAGCGAACAGG
rnacentral:rRNA from 1 species